AAAUGGAGCAGAAAGGCACUGAACCCAGAAACAAAUAAUUCUCUAGGAUGGUGGCUGGAAGUGCAUUUGCUAAAGAACCUCACUUCUACCGAUCUCAUUUUCCACGCACUUACAAACGGACCAGAGGUUGCAAAAGUGAGUCUCUCCUCGCUUCUACCGAUCUCAUUUUCCACGCACUUACAAACGGACCAGUGGUUGCAAAAGUGGAAGCAGAACCCUGCUGCCCGUGUCUGGGUGGGCGAGAGACUGGGGAAACACGGCCAGGAAGCAGCCCGGCAGAUGGGGGCUGAGCGCACUGGCAGGGGCAGGAGGAGCUGCAGAUCUUUUCUCAGUUGAGCUUCAGAUGAGACCACAGCCCCAGCCAGCUUCUUAAGUGCAGCCUCAUAAGAAACCGUAAGCAGAGAACCAAGAUAAACCAUGCCUGAACUCCUGAUCCACAGAAACUGUGAAAUAGAUCUGCCUGGAACCUGCCGGCCCCCUGCAGCUGGCUUCUUAAAUGCCUGCAGCUGGUGCAAGCCUCUCACUCCAAGAUGUUUCCACCCCAGACACAUCCCAGAGCCCCCUGCAUCUCCUGGGAGGACGAGGAUGGAUGGAAGCGUGCUGCCAACGCUGGGACACCUGCUUGCUUUCUGGGCAGUGGCCAGGAAAUCGCAUCUGCUGCCAGAAGAGAGCACCUGCACAUCCCGGAGAAGGGAAGGGGACAGAGCCGUGUGAUUCUAGCAGAGGAACACCCAUAGGAUUCCUUCUGUUGUUCCCAAGGUCCAGGCUCCCAGGCUGAGUAGGCAGGAAGGAGAAUGUGUCUUCACACAGGAAGCCUCACUGCCCAGAACAUGGGACAGAUCUAGCUGGAGCUGUGCUCAAACAGCUGUGGAGGCAUUAUAAAUCUCUCUCCCCGAGAUGAGGUUCAGAGGCUCUUGACAUGCCCUGCUAAUGGUAAAUCUUCCAGUGCCCACAGAGCAAGCCCUGGACUCUUAGAGCAUCAAGGUGAGACUGCCUGCCCCCCUUAAGCCUGUUAAUGGCAUCAGUGAUGUAUUCCCCUCCAAAUGUGGAAGGCUGCCUCUUUCUUCAUUGGAAGCAUCAAGGGAGUUUUAACUGUAAAACAGACUGUGCUUCAAAUCCCAUCUAAAUGCCUCAUCCUGAAGCUCUGACCUGCCACUUUUCUGCAAAUGACACUGGGUGAUUUGAAUGGGAUUAGAUUGGACAGUGGCCCCUGGCUGUUGUUUAAGUUUGUGUGGGUUUUGUUGUUUGUUUGUUUUAAUGCAACCUGUCUUUAAAUCUUCACUUUCAAAAAAAAAAAAAAGUGGUCAUUAGCCUUAUUUUUUAUUUAGAGGAUGUGAAGUCAGAAGUUCCCUUCCCUGAUUUAUUACCUCAUAGGUUUAUGACUUUGAAGAAUCAUUUCAUCUCUUUUAGUUUCCUCAUCUGUAGAAAGGUGAUUGUAAACUCUUUCUUAUCGGCUGGAUACAAAGAUGAAAUGAGAUAUCCU
rnacentral:lncRNA from 10 species